GUUUAAUGUGGUCAAAUGUGUGAAAAUGUCUUUCUGGUGUGCUGUUGGUUCAUUUGUGAAAGUUACAAGUUCACACAGUGAAGAGUUUUACUUCCUUGUUUUUGACACUCCACUCACAGCAACAGAAACAUAUUGUAUGAAUAAGUAAAAAGUUGGUAUACUUCCACGUAACCUGGCCUGACCUUUAUGUUUUUUUUUUUCUUUUUUUAUUUUUGUUUUUUCUUUACUAUGUUUUGGUAAAACUUUUAUAUAAUCAUACCCCAGGAAUAAUAGCAGCAGUGAAACUGCAGUUAAUGGGGAUCACAAUAAAGUAAUAACCUCGAUUUAAUAGCAUUUGUGUGUAUGUGUUUGACAGAGUCCCUACAAAUAAGAUCAUGGCAGGACUAGACGGUAGUGGUGGCAAGGGUGCCUUUAGAAGAAUGAUCCUUUGGAAGGUCAUGAUUGAUGCCAUUCAGAAGUCGCAGCCUGGAGCCAGUGAGGCUGCCAUUGAGUUACGGAUGGGGACCUAUCUGCGGUCAGCGCCUGAUCGAAAAGGUGGUGGUGGCCGCAAGACCACUGAACCUGAUGCAUAGGCGCACUGAUUUGUUGAUAUUGUUUUGAUAUUGUUUGAUAUUUGUUUGUUGAUAAUAAGUUGUUUGCAAAAGUAUACAAUAAAAUGUAUUGUUCAUACAUGUACGCUUGAUCAUUGAGAGAGAAUCCCAUGUGGGAAACUAUUGUAGUUCAGUUUUUAAUCCUGAUGAAGAUCCUGUGAGACCAAGUCUAGAUUAAGCCAAUUCUGUUUGCAAUACAAGAUGGUGUGUGUGGGAUCUUUUCAUCUGUGCAUUUUAAGAAGCUUAACAUUGAAACGAUGUCAAAAUAACAUCAAUAUCAUUAUUUGGCUGAAAGUUUAAAGAACCUUAACAUUGAAACGAUGUCAAAAUAACAUCAAUAUCAUCAUUAUUUGACAUCAAUCAAAUUGAUGUCAAAGUUUGACAUGUUGAUUUACGUUUUUGACCAAAUCAGGAUGCAAUUUUGAUAUCAAUGUUUGAUGUCAUCUUGAUGUUGUAUUUACAUCAGAUGCCCGCUGGGUUAGGUUUGAAAGUAAACAAAGUUUUUUUAAA
rnacentral:lncRNA from 1 species